AACGAACGCUGGCGCCAUGCCUAACACAUGCAAGUCGAACGAGACCUUCGGGUCUAGUGGCGCACGGGUGCGUAACGCGUGGGAACCUGCCCUUAGGUUCGGAAUAACUCCCCGAAAGGGGUGCUAAUACCGGAUAAUGUCUUCGGACCAAAGAUUUAUCGCCUUUGGAUGGGCCCGCGUUGGAUUAGCUAGUUGGUAGGGUAAAAGCCUACCAAGGCGACGAUCCAUAGCUGGUCUGAGAGGAUGAUCAGUCACACUGGGACUGAGACACGGCCCAGACUCCUACGGGAGGCAGCAGUGGGGAAUAUUGGACAAUGGGCGAAAGCCUGAUCCAGCAAUGCCGCGUGAGUGAUGAAGGCCUUAGGGUUGUAAAGCUCUUUUACCCGGGAUGAUAAUGACAGUACCGGGAGAAUAAGCUCCGGCUAACUCCGUG
rnacentral:rRNA from 1 species